CUGGAGCCAGACAGGACCACAGGAGGACAAGAAGAACUUCUCCAAAGCAGAAUCUCAUGGUGGCAUGUACAGGCAUCUCCUGCUUGUGGUCUUCACCUGGAGACUGGACCCCAGCACUACCCUGCAAGUCCUCUCAGACUCCUGGUCUCAGCCUGCUGGUCUCAUCUCACACAUGCCCCUGGGAGAGCUGUGGACCCUGGAUGUCCUGCUGGAAGGCUCUGUGCCUGCUGGAAGCUCUGGCUGGUAUGUGAGCUGUGUCUGCUCCUGGCAGGGAGGGGGCAGUACACUCCUCCUAUCAGACCUGCCCACCCCAGGCACUGAGUGAGGGGAGAGGUGGGCACCCAGGACUCAC